GUGGAUCAAGAUUAUUUUAGUUUAGUUAAUAAUAAUAAGUUGUAAGCAUAGAGUUACUUCAAGUACUUGAGAAAAUUUUGUUACUUGUCAUGGUUUUAUAUAACUCAAACUUCUUUGCUUUGUAUGUAAGUUACAUAUGAUCUCCUAUAGGAAAAGAAAACUGUGCAGUCAGUAGGUUUAUUAAUCAUCCUUUUGGUAAAUUCCUGUUAUCUAAAACUAGAAAUUAACAUGAAAAUCAAAACAUCUGACAAUUUGAUUCUGGAAAGCUUUCCAAUUUUAUCUCUAUCAAACAAGUAAUUUGCACAAAGAAGAAUAUACAAUA
rnacentral:lncRNA from 1 species